rnacentral:rRNA from 1 species
UACUCUUGACAUCCAGAGAAUUUAGCAGAGAUGCUUUAGUGCCUUCGGGAACUNUGAGACGGGUGCUGCAUGGCUGUCGUCAGCUCGUGUUGUGAAAUGUUGGGUUAAGUCCCGCAACGAGCGCAACCCUUAUCCUUUGUUGCCAGCGAUUCGGUCGGGAACUCAAAGGAGACUGCCGGUGAUAAACCGGAGGAAGGUGGGGAUGACGUCAAGUCAUCAUGGCCCUUACGAGUAGGGCUACACACGUGCUACAAUGGCGUAUACAAAGAGAAGCGACCUCGCGAGAGCAAGCGGAACUCAUAAAGUACGUCGUAGUCCGGAUUGGAGUCUGCAACUCGACUCCAUGAAGUCGGAAUCGCUAGUAAUCGUAGAUCAGAAUGCUACGGUGAAUACGUUCCCGGGCCUUGUACACACCGCCCGUCACACCAUGGGAGUGGGUUGCGAAAGAAGUAGGUAGCUUAACCUUCGGGAGGGCGCUUACCACUUUGUGAUUCAUGACUGGGGUGAAGUCGUAACAAGGUAACCAAGGGCGAAUUCGCGGCC